GGCGUGCCUAAUACAUGCAAGUCGAUCGAGGAAGGGACUAGCUUGCUAGGACUGGAGAAGAGGCGAACGGGUGAGUAAUACAUAAGCAACCUACCCACGAAGACUGGGAUAACCCCUGGAAACGGGGACUAAGACCGGAUAGGUAAUGAGAUCGCAUGAUCAAAUUAUUAAAGGAGAAAGACACUGGUGGAUGGGCUUAUGGCGCAUUAGUUAGAUGGUGAGGUAACGGCCCACCAUGACGAUGAUGCGUAGCCGGCCUGAGAGGGUGAACGGCCACAUUGGGACUGAGACACGGCCCAGACUCCUACGGGAGGCAGCGGUAGGGAAUUUUCGGCAAUGGGGGAAACCCUGACCGAGCGACGCCGCGUGAGUGAAGAAGGCCUUCGGGUUGUAAAACUCUGUUGUACAGGAAGAAUGGUGCAGAGAGGAUCUGCAAAUGACGGUACUGUACGAGGAAGCCACGGCUAACUACGUGCCAGCAGCCGCGGUAAUACGUAGGUGGCGAGCGUUAUCCGGAAUUAUUGGGCGUAAAGGGUGCGCAGGCGGUCAAAUAAGUUUAAGGUGAAAGCGUGAAGCUCAACUUCAUCGAGCCUUAGAUACUGUUUGACUAGAGUACUGGAGAGGGUAGUGGAAUUCCAUGUGUAGCGGUAAAAUGCGUAGAUAUAUGGAGGAACACCAGAGGCGAAGGCGGCUACCUAGACAGAGACGGACGCUGAGGCACGAAAGCGUGGGGAGCAAUAGGAUUAGAUACCCUAGUAGUCNCGCUGUAACGAUGAUGCCAACCUCAGACGAUUGGGUUGAGUUACGCAUAGC
rnacentral:rRNA from 1 species